ensembl:snoRNA small nucleolar RNA U13
AUCUUUCUGGUUCAUGCAUGUGAUGAUUGGUCAAAUCACGGAUCAAUCUGUGAAAGGUGCAGCCUUCUCUUGUUACGCUAUGCGCCUCAGCCUCUCUGAUC